rnacentral:lncRNA from 1 species
UGUGGAUUGAAAAUAACAAUGCAAGUGCUGCAACUGUCUUUUCCCCACCAGAUAGUUGCUCCAUGUCACGGAAACGCUUCGUUGGGGGCAUAGCAGUGUACUUGAUGCCAUGGAGAAAUGGAUCAUCAUCAUUUUCCAAGUUUAGAUAUGCUGUUCCCCCCAGUGGAUGUGUAUUGCUCUUUGUAAGUUGUUUGUAAAUUUUAUCUAUAUUACCAGAUAUAUGGUUAAAAGCAUCCAUGAACAAUUGAUACCUGCAUCAAAUACACACUUAAGCUCCAUCAGAAGACAGAUGAAAGGCAAUAAAUGCAAUAAAUACAGAGAUUUCAUUUUCAAGACAACCUCUAAGGUAGAGACAAAAAAACUACGAAUAUAAAAGGUUGUACUUCAUUAGAGCAUUGUAAGGGGAAAUGCAGGACAAUAGAUGUUCCGAGGAAACUUAUCCCCAACCUUGUAAGUGAAUUAUCAAAUAUCAAGCUUACCAGAUUGGCCUUAGAGUAAGCAUGUUUAACAUGAGAACAUAUUUUCAGGAUUUGUUACGUAAUGUUACCAUCAUUGUUCAAAUUCAUUCAUAAAGAAUGUUACAUUCACAGCUUUGAAGGUUCACAAAGGUUUUUCUGAAUUCUAUUAUUUGAAGCUUGAAUGGUAAAAUAGUAGAAGACAGCGAACGGGGGUGACUAUCCCCCAAAAUGCUAGAGGCGUAGUACAUUGUGAGGAAACCCCUACAGCAAGAUAGUAUCUAGAAUGACUCCAAGCACACAAUAACAUUUUUCACUGUAGACCAAUGAACAAAUAAACAGUGUCUCAAACCCAAUACUCCAUAUGCAAGAAAAUGUCAUAGCCCAUACUAGUCAGCAAAGUUGUUAUAGAACCAAAAUUGGAAAUAUUUGAGAAAACCAAGAAAGUAAAUCCUUGGUGUUUAUUGUGAAUACAAAUAAAGAACCUCAUGAGCGAAUUCUUCUUCCAAGGUCUCAUAAUUUAGGGUAAAACAUAUAUAUUGUUAUGCUGAGAUACAAAUCCAUAUAUACAAUGCUAGAAAGCUAUUUUAGGAAGUAUAAUAAUAGCUCCUAAAGAAAGAAUCCCUAUAUUUCAGGGAUAUCUUAAUCAUACCUGAUAAUUAUAAUCUCCUAAAUAAGAAAGAAAUAUAAUUAAUAAAAGCAAAGACUUUAAUAGAAAUAAUACAGCUAAAAAGAUUCUAACACUCCCCUCAACUUGGUGAAUAGGUAUUUUCCAUUCCCAACUUAGGAAAGAUACUUUCGAAGUUGUUACUCUUCAACCCCUUUGUUAGAAUAUUUGCAAGGUUGUCUUGUGAAGAGACAUAUGCAAUACAUAUUAGACCACUGUCUAAUUUUUCUUUGAUAAAAUGUUUGUCGAUUUCGAUAUGUUUGGUUCUAUCAUGCUACACUGGAUUAUGAGCUAUGCUAAUAGUAGAUUUGUUAUCACAAUAAAGUCUCAUUGAUUCAUCUUACUUUAUUCCUAAGUCUUCCAAGAUGAUUUUUAACCAUAGUAGUUCGCAUAUCCCUUGUGCCAUUGCCUUGAAUUCUGCUUCAGCAUUGGAUCUAGCUACCACAUUUUGCUUUUUACUCUUCCAAGUCACAAGAUUUCCAUCAAUGUAAGUGCAAUACCCCGUAGUUGACCUCCUGUCCACAAUUGAGCCUGCAUAGUCUGCAUUUGUAUAUGCUUCUACACUUACAUUCCCAUGUCGCUCAAACAAAAUUCCCCUGCCUGGGGUUCCCUUCAAAUAUUACACAAUUCUUAGUACAGCUUGUAAGUGAACCUCCUUAGGUUGGUGCAUGAACUGGCUAACAAGGCUUACAACAAAUGCAACAUCAGGCCUAGUGUGAGAUAAAUAAAUCAAUCUACCAACUAAUCUCUGAUACAUUUCCUUGUAAACUGCAGUACCUUCUUCUACAUUCUCCAAUUUCAUGUUUGGAUCAAUUGGUGUACUCACAGGCUUGCAUGCUGUCUUCCCAGUUUCUUUCAACAAAUCUGUGAGUAUUUUUGCUGAGAUAUAAAUAUUCCCUUUUUAGAAUGGGCAACUUCAAUCCCUAAAAAAUACUUCAAUUUUCCCAAGGUUUUAAUUUCAAAUUCCUUGGCCAGAUGUUGGCCAAAGAGCUGUUACUCCUCCUCAUCAUCACCCGUUAUUAUAAUAUCAUCUACAAAACCAAUAACAUUGUAACUCUCCCUGAUUUAGAGUGUUUAAUGAACAAAGUGUGGUCUCCUUGACUUUGUUUAAAGCCCAGACUUAUCAUAACUUUAGUAAGCCUCCCAAACCAUGGUCGUGGUGAUUGUUUCAACCCAUAUAAUGCCUUUUUUAGCUUGCAAACAGUGUUGGCAGCUAUAUUUCCCUCAUAUCUAGGGGGCAAUUCCAUGUAAAUCUCCUCUUCAAUUUCUCCAUGAAGGAAGACAUUUUUAACAUCAAAUUGUUGCAAGUUCCAACCAUAAUUAGCUGCUAGGGAUAAUAUCACCCUAAUUGUAUUCGUUUUUGUCACUGGAGCAAAAGUUUCCAUGUAAUCCACUCCAUAGGUUUAAGUGAAUCCCUUAGCCUCUAACUUUGCUUUGUACCUCUCAAUAGACCCAUCAGCCUUGUAAUUUAUAGUAUAUACCCACCUGAACCCUACUGGUCUUUUUCCAUUUGGGAGAGCCACCAAAUCCCAAGUGUUAUUCUUUUCUAGUGCUUCCAUUACCAUGUCCAUAGCUUGUUUCCAUUUUUUAUCACUCAAUGCCUCAUAUAGAGAGGUAGGUGGUUGUGGUGUUUAGGUUUGUGUGGAAGGCUUUAUGAGUAGGUGAGAAGUUUUAAAGGAUAGGUAAUUAGCUAGAGGGUACAAUGGCUUGGUAGUGCAUUUCCUAGUCUCUUUCCUAAGGGCAAUUGAAAUAUCUAGGUCCUCAUAAAGGGAUGCUGGACUGGAUUCAGAUUCCUAUAUAUUUGGAAAAACAGAGUUUGAUGCAUUGGAGAUUAAAGGAUUAGGGAUCGUUACCUCAUGUAAUGUUGGGUUGGAUGGUUGAACAUGGACAGAUUCUGGAACGGUCUUUGUCUUCCUUGUUUAAACCAAAUUUUUACCAAAUCUUACAUCAACCCCAUCUUGAGUCUUAGUCCCUAUUUCUAGUCCUAAGCUUAAGUCAGGAAGCAUAAGGAUAUCAUCUUCAUUUGGUGUAGUCUCCCCCUGAAGAUGAUCUUUAUAAAAGUAACUUUUGUGCUCAAAAAAGUGACAUCACGAGACAGAAUUUUUUGGAUGGUGGGUGAUAGCAUUUAUAUCCCUUUUGUGUGGAUGAGUAACCUAUGAAAACACAUUUUAAGGUUCUAGGAUCAAGUUUACCUCUAUCACUAUUGUGGACAUGGACAAAAGAGACAACCAAAGAUUCGUGGAACAAGGUGGUUGGAUGUGGACACAUUAGGAUAAAAGGAUGAUAGAACCUCCAUAGGGCUUUUGGAGGCUAGAAUACUAGAAGGUAGUCUAUUAAUUAGAUAACAGGCAAUGAGAACAACCUCCCCCAAAAACUUUUAGGAACCUUAUGUUGAAAAAGGAGAGCUCUAGUUUGGUCUAAAAGGUGUCCAUUUUUCCUCUCUGCAAUCCCAUUUUGUAGAGGAGUUUUGAUACAGGAGGACUCAUGAAUGAUACCUUCCUUUUGACAAAAAGAAAUCAGCCCAUGAUUAAAGUAAUAUUUGGCAUUAUAAGAUCUAAUCCUCUUAAUGCUAACACCAAAUUGAUUUUUUACCAUUGAGAAAAAACUUUGAACCACAAAGCUUACUUCAGAUUUUUGUUUUAGUAAGAAAACCCAUGUAACACGAGUGCAAUCAUCUAUAAAGGUAAGAAACCAACUAGCACUGACAUUUAAGGGACCCCAUACAUAAGUAUGAAUUAAAUAGGAGGGAAAAGCGCUCUUAUUAUUACUAAAAGGAAAAGAAACACGUUUGUAUUUAGCAAGUUCACACGCUUUGCAAUUGAGACUUGCCACAUCCAAUUUGCUAAAAAGGGAAGGGAAUAAUAAUUUUAUGACCCUAAAGGAAGGAUGUCCAAGACAACAAUGAUGGAGGAAGAUCCUCUCCCUGCUGGUCUUUAUUGAGUCAAAGAAAAAAGAGUUGCUAUUUCCCAGGACGGAUGGCAGAUUUGGAUUGUCUAAGUAAUACAAGCCAUUCCAGUCUCUAGCAUGUCCAAUCGUCCUUCCUGAUUGUUGGUUCUAUAUGAUACAAUCAUUGUUAGAAAAAAUAACAUUGCAUGAGGGAUCGUGUAUGAGUUUUUUAAUGGAGACUAAACUAACAGAUAAUUUAGGAAUAUGAACAACAUUUUUAAGGGUGAUAGAAGGGCUUAUUUGAACAUCUCCUUGACCUACUGCAGUCAUCAAAGAGCCAUCAACUAUGGAUAUUUUCUUGUUACUAGGGCAACGGGUGUAAGAGGAGAAAAUGUUAGAUAAGGGUGUCAUAUGGUCGGUAGCCCUAGAAUCUAGUAUCCAAUAUGGGUUAGGUUGUUUAUAUGAGGCAUUAAGUCCAAAAGAAGGAAACUCUCCAAAUGUACCUGAAUGUGCUAGAGAACAACUACCUGGUGAUUUAUCCAACUUGUUAAGGAAGGAGUGCAUCUGGUGAACCUCAUCUUGGUUGAGUGGAAUUGGUCCAUUGUUGUUUUCUUCAUUUUUUGCAGCACCUAGGUGUGCUUGUCCGCCCUUUCUACUGUUGUCGCCACUUUUUCCCACUCCUUUUCACGAUUUUGGGAUCCCCAAUCUCGACUAGGAGGCUUUCCAUGUAGCUUCCAACAUUUAUCACGAGUGUGACGAGGUCUGUUACAGAAGGUACACCACACUCCAUUUUUCUUUUCCAUAUUGGUGAGUCCUCCCUUUUGGGGAUCAACCAUCUUGGCCGAUCCAGUUGCUAGCAUGGCUGAGUUUUCCCAUGGUUGGGGAUUCUAGCAUUAUUCCCCUUCUACUUUCUUUACUUCUUACCAUAGCUAUCACUUCAUUAAUUCCUGGAACUUUGUCGUUUCCAAGAAUAUGGACUCUCACUUCAUCAAAAUCAAAGUUAAGCCCUACCAGAAAAUCAUAGACUCUAUCUUGCUCAAUAUACUAUUUGAGCAUGGCAGAAUCAUUUGAGCACUUGGCUUUAAUGACCCUGUAAUGGUCUAAUUCCAUCCAUAAUGAUUUGAGUUGAUUGGCAUACUCUGUAACAGUCUUUGUUCCUUGUUUGGCAGCGAUAGUCUUCACCUUGACAUCAUAUAUUUGAGCAACAUCUUUAGCUUUUGAGUAUGUCUGCUCCACUGCAUUCCAAAUCUCCUUUGCAUAAUUAAGAAACAUGCAAGUAUCAGUAAUUUCUUGGAUCAUGGAGUUCCAUAGUCAUGCCAUGAUCAUAGAGUCUUCUUCAUCCCAUUUUGUAAAUAUGGGAUCGUCUUCUGGAGGAGCAUCAUCAGUCAAGUGGUUAGCUUUCUCUUUACCUUUAAAAGUUCUGCAAACAAGCUGGGCCCAUUUCAAAUAAUUCGUCCUAUUUAAGUGGUAGGCAGUGUUGACGUUCUGGAGUUAUUCCUGAUUGGUUUGUGAUCCAAUAGGCACCACUUCAACAGUGUGGUCUGCCAUGUCCAUGCAGCAGAACGAUGGUAAUGCAGUGAGAAGAGAUUUCAAAGGAAAAGCACUACAAAAGAAAGAAUACUGCAGCAAUGACAGCUACAGUGUACAGUUGUGUUGGCAAUGGCAAUGAAGGCUGUUUUGAAAGAGAGAGUAGCACCAAUGAAGGCUGCCGACUAGGGUUUUAGUGCGCAGUCAGAGAAAGCUCCCAGAUGUUGAGAGCUCUAAUACCAUCUCAUAAUUUAGGGUAAAACAUACAUCUUACUACGCUGAGAUUACAAAUCCAUAUAUACAAUGCUAGAAAGCUAUUUUAGGAAGUAGAAUAAUAGCUCCUAAAGAAAGAAUCCCUAUAUUUCAAGGAUAUCCUAAUCAUACCCGAUAAUUAUAAUCUCCUAAAUAAGAAUGAAAUAUAAUUAAUAGGAAUAAUACAGCUAAAAAGAUUCUAACACAAGAUUUUCAGAGUUUGUCCAGACUAAAAAGAUAAUAACAAAAAUAGAUUAAAUGAUCUAAAGUCCAACUAUUUAAGAAAACCACCUCACCACAUAUUAAAAUUGUGCAAGAUGUUUCCUCAAAGUUCUUGGGAUGAUUUUGUUCUUAGUGUGUAUUAUCUCAUUAAUCACAUGUCAUCUUCAGUUUU